rnacentral:rRNA from 1 species
GAUGAACGCUGGCGGCGUGCCUAAUACAUGCAAGUCGAACGCGCAGCGAAAGGUGCUUGCACCUUUCAAGCGAGUGGCGAACGGGUGAGUAACACGUGGAUAACCUGCCUCAAGGCUGGGGAUAACAUUUGGAAACAGAUGCUAAUACCGAAUAAAACUUAGUAUCCCAUGAUACAAAGUUAAAAGGCCCUACGGCGUCACCUAGACAUGGAUCCGCGGUGCAUUAGUUAGUUGGUGGGGUAAAGGCUUACCAAGACGAUGAUGCAUAGCCGAGUUGAGAGACUGAUCGGCCACAUUGGGACUGAGACACGGCCCAAACUCCUACGGGAGGCUGCAGUAGGGAAUCUUCCACAAUGGGCGCAAGCCUGAUGGAGCAACGCCGCGUGUGUGAUGAAGGCUUUCGGGUCGUAAAGCACUGUUGUAUGGGAAGAAAUGCUAAAAUAGGGAAUGAUUUUAGUUUGGCGGUACCAUACUAGAAAGGGACGGCUAAAUACGUGCCAGCCGCCGCCGUAA